AGUGAACGCUGGCGGUAGGCCUAACACAUGCAAGUCGAACGGCAGCACAGAGGAGCUUGCUCCUUGGGUGGCGAGUGGCGGACGGGUGAGGAAUACAUCGGAAUCUACUCUGUCGUGGGGGAUAACGUAGGGAAACUUACGCUAAUACCGCAUACGACCUACGGGUGAAAGCAGGGGACCUUCGGGCCUUGCGCGAUUGAAUGAGCCGAUGUCGGAUUAGCUAGUUGGCGGGGUAAAGGCCCACCAAGGCGACGAUCCGUAGCUGGUCUGAGAGGAUGAUCAGCCACACUGGAACUGAGACACAGUCCAGCCUCCUACGGGAGUCAGCAGUGGGGAAUAUUGGACAAUGGGCGCAGGCCUGAUCCAGCCAUACCGCGUGGGUGAAGAAGGCCUUCGGGUUGUAAAGCCCUUUUGUUGGGAAAGAAAUCCAGCUGGCUAAUACCCGGUUGGGAUGACGGUACCCAAAGAAUAAGCACCGGCUAACUUCGUGCCAGCCGCCGCGGUAA
rnacentral:rRNA from 1 species